rnacentral:tRNA from 1 species
GGGAUUGUAGCUCAGUGGUAGAGCACUUGCCUAGCAUUUGCAAGACCCUGGCCUCAGUCCCC